GCUAACGAAUUUACAUUAGCGAACCGCUUCUCCAAUGAAUUCCCAAAUAAAUGUACAUUAGCGAAGCGGUUCCCUAUUCAGAUUCCCAGUAUGUUUAUAAUAGCAAAUCGGUUCGCUAUUAUGAAAUCCAUGUUUUAUCCAUUUCCAUGCUCGUUUCCAAACUUAAGCCAUCUGGACCUUUUUAUGUCAUUCGCCAUUCUCUUAAUCUUUCGUCAGUUCAUGCCUUCAUUGGGUUUCCCAACUUCCUGUUUCGAUAGAAUAAUAAUAAAUUUAACCCUUGUUUUAAAAUGUGAUUUGAGUUAGUAUAUGUUUAAGAAUUUAAACAAUAAGUGAGAAGACUUGUAUAAAUUGCCACACCAAGGUUCGUUGUUAUGUAGCUUACACUUUUAUUGACAUUUAUCGUCAUUUUAAUGGUUUCCAGUGAGAGAGCAUAUAGCAACCUAUUUUGAUAUAGCAUCAUCGUACCAUUCUUGGUAUGCGUACACUGAUGAUGUUGGUUGUGAUUCACAAAUGCACAUUUUUAUUGAUAUUUAUUAGAAUAGUUGUUAUGGACAUACAUAUAGUUCAUUUGUAAGGGUAAUGGUUGACAAGUAUUUGUGGCCAUUGCUUAAUAUUGAAACAUUCUUAUUUUAUUUAGGUCUUCAGUGCGAGAACAAACCUGAUUUAUUUGAUGAAAAUCAUGUCAGAUUUGAGGGCAGUGUCCCAAACAAAACCAUUUAAUUUGAUUUAUUAUGUUUUUCAUUUUCAUCAUUAACAACAAAAGCGAGAUAAAAAAAAAAUUGCCUCAGCAAAAUUUGAUUGGCUAUAAUUGUUGUUUUUAAUAAUGUUUAAUUUUGAAAUAUCAGGCAUUUUUCCUGAAUUUCUAAAUAUCCUAUUAGAACACAGGGGUUUACUAAUGUGAAUUUUUUGGGGAUUGCAUUAGUAAAGCGGUUGGCUGUUGCAAAUUCAAAAGCAAAAGAAUAGCGAAGCAGUUCACUAUUAUAAUUAUACAUGGGAUUUGAAUAGCGAACCGCUUUGCCAUUCUUUUUACUUUGAAUUCGCAUUAGCCAACCACUUCGCUAACGUUAAUUUCUUGGGGAUUUCAUUAGCGUGGAGGUUCGCUAAUGUGAAUGGAUUUGGGAAUUCAUUAGCAUUAGGCAAAGCAGCAUCUUCUUUCCAACAAAACCCCCGAGCCGCAAUUUUUUUGUUUUGUAUUUUUUAUUAUUUAUGUGUAUUUUUUUUUCUUUCUGUUUAGUUUCCGAAAUACAAUGCCAUUUAACUUGAUAA